rnacentral:miRNA from 1 species
AUUGAAACUCUGUAGCCUUGA